AAUCAACGCUGGCGGCGUGCCUCAGACAUGCAAGUCGAACGCGAAAGUUCCCUUCGGGGGAGUAAGUAGAGUGGCGUCCGGGUGAGUAACACGUAGGUAAUCUACCUUUGGGUGGGGAAUAACAACCGGAAACGGUUGCUAAUACCGCAUAAUGCAGCGGCACCACAUGGUGACAGUUGUUAAAGCGGGGGAGUCGAAAGACCUCGCGUCUAAAGAGGAGCCUGCGGCGGAUUAGCUAGUUGGUAAGGAAUGGCUUACCAAGGCUACGAUCCGUAACCGGCCUGAGAGGGCGGUCGGUCACACUGACACUGACAUACGGGUC
rnacentral:rRNA from 1 species